rnacentral:rRNA from 1 species
CUUAGAGAGCUUGCUUUUUAAGCUUAGUGGCGAACGGGUGAGUAACGCGUGAGUAACCUGCCCUAGAGUGGGGGACAACAGUUGGAAACGACUGCUAAUACCGCAUGACACAUUGGGGUCGCAUGGCCCUGAUGUCAAAGAUUUAUCGCUGAAAGAUGGCCUCGCGUCUGAUUAGCUAGUUGGUGAGGUAAUGGCCCACCAAGGCGACGAUCGGUAGCCGGACUGAGAGGUUGAACGGCCACAUUGGGACUGAGACACGGCCCAGACUCC